UACGUAGGGCGCGAGCGUUGUCCGGAAUUAUUGGGCGUAAAGAGCUCGUAGGCGGCUUGUCGCGUCGGUUGUGAAAGCCCGGGGCUUAACCCCGGGUCUGCAGUCGAUACGGGCAGGCUAGAGUUCGGUAGGGGAGAUCGGAAUUCCUGGUGUAGCGGUGAAAUGCGCAGAUAUCAGGAGGAACACCGGUGGCGAAGGCGGAUCUCUGGGCCGAUACUGACGCUGAGGAACGAAAGCGUGGGGAGCGAACAGG
rnacentral:rRNA from 1 species